rnacentral:rRNA from 1 species
AGAGAGAGACAUGCGCGCAUAUCAAUAAGCGGAGGAAAAGAAACUAACAAGGAUUCCCUUAGUAACGGCGAGUGAAGCGGGAAGAGCUCAAAUUUGAAAUCUUCAAGGUUUCACCUUGACGAAUUGUAGUUUAAAGAAGUGUUUUCUGCUGAAGUUUUGGUAAAAGUUCUUUGGAAUAGGACAUCAUAGAGGGUGAGAAUCCCGUAUUUGACCAUUAUUUUCAGCUUUGUGAUACACUUUCAAAGAGUCGGAUUGUUUGGGAAUGCAGUCCAAAAUGGGUGGUAAAUUUCAUCUAAAGCUAAAUAUUGGCGAGAGACCGAUAGCGAACAAGUACCGUGAGGGAAAGAUGAAAAGAACUUUGAAAAGAGAGUUAAACAGUACGUGAAAUUGUCAAAAGGGAAGCGUUUGACACCAGUGUUGUUUUCUCGAAAAUCAAUUAAAAAUGGCUCGAUUUUGUAUUGCUUGAGACCUUAAAAGCUCACUGUACAUUUUUCGUGUCCUUUUUUAAUGCACUUUUCGUUUAACAAGUCAACAUCAGUUUCUUUUGUUGUAAAAGGGUCAUUGGAAGGUGGCUUUCUUUUCGGAGAAAGUGUUUAUAGCCUUUGGCCUCUGCAAUCGGAAGAGACUGAGGUCUGCAGCGUAGACUCUUCGGGGUUAGAUACAUUUGUGCUAAGUUAUAGCUUUUUAUAGACAACUUGUUGACUAUAAUUAGUCUUGUAGCUUACUCGCUUAUGCUAUUUUACCUACGCUUAGGAUGUUGAAGAUGUAGCACAUCAU